AUCUUAUCGAGAGCGGCGGAGGGAUAGGCCCGAUGAAGCCCGGCAACCGAUUUGUGUAAUACGCGUCAACCCGCGUUUUAGAUGAAUGUCAUGGUGCUAAUUCCUACAAUACCGCGCGGUUUGCGGUCUUUGGCAGAUGAGAA
rnacentral:ncRNA from 2 species